CUGCAGCUGAUUAAGCCAAACAGAUUUCUUUCACCGGGACCUGGUGUGCAAUGGUUGCAAACAGCAUCCUCCUUGGGAGUGUGUGCAGUCUGUUGCUUGUUGGAUUGCUCUAGAGAAACUGAGUUAUCU
rnacentral:snoRNA from 1 species